ACCUGGGUGGCUUAGUGGGUUAAGCGUCUGACUUAGGCUCAGGUCAUGCAUGAUCUCAUGGUUCGUGGGUUUGAGCCCUGCAUCAGGCU
rnacentral:tRNA from 1 species